UAACUGGGACAUCCAUUGUACAUUUGUAUUUUAUACCGCUCUUAGACCAUAGUGGCUCAAGUCAAUCAUGCAAUUGGGGCUGAGGGGAUUAUCAGUACAGAAUGCAAGGAAGUAGAGAGAGAGUAUGGAGAGAUGAUCCUCGAGAUGCUUGUAGCACAGGCCACAGAAAGUGUGCAGUCAGAUCGGUUUGUGUGUAUUUGAUGGUAGUCACUCUGUCAGAAAGAGAAGCGAGGCUCUGAUCUUCUCUGCACGGCUUGUGAGAUGACUGUUGUCUGGAUACAGAAUCAGCUCCGUAAAAACCAAACAGAAGAGCUCAUCUUGCAGUAUG